rnacentral:rRNA from 1 species
CGGACGGGUGAGUAACACGUGGAUAACCUACCUAUAAGACUGGGAUAACUUCGGGAAACCGGAGCUAAUACCGGAUAAUAUAUUGAACCGCAUGGUUCAAUAGUGAAAGACGGUUUUGCUGUCACUUAUAGAUGGAUCCGCGCUGCAUUAGCUAGUUGGUAAGGUAACGGCUUACCAAGGCAACGAUGCGUAGCCGACCUGAGAGGGUGGUCGGCCACACUGGAACUGAGACACGGUCCAGACUCCUACGGGAGGCAGCAGCU